UAGGGAAUCUUCGGCAAUGGGGGGAACCCUGACCGAGCAACGCCGCGUGAGUGAAGAAGGUUUUCGGAUCGUAAAGCUCUGUUGUUAAGGAAGAACGAGUGUGAGAAUGGAAAGUUCAUACUGUGACGGUACUUAACCAGAAAGGGACGGCUAACUACGUGCCAGCAGCCGCGGUAAUACGUAGGUCCCGAGCGUUGUCCGGAUUUAUUGGGCGUAAAGCGAGCGCAGGCGGUUAGAUAAGUCUGAAGUUAAAGGCAGUGGCUCAACCAUUGUAGGCUUUAGAAACUGUUUAACUUGAGUGCAGAAGGGGAGGGUGGAAUUCCAUGUGUAGCGGUGAGAUGCGUAGAUAUAUGGAGGAACACCGGUGGAGAAGGCGGCUCUCUGGUCUGUAACUGACGCGGAGGCUAGAAAGCGUGGGGAGCGAACAGG
rnacentral:rRNA from 1 species